rnacentral:rRNA from 1 species
CACGGGAGGGGCAAGCGUUGUUCGGAAUCAUUGGGCGUAAAGGGCGUGUAGGCGGUUACGUAAGUCUGGUGUGAAAUAUCUCGGCUCAACCGAGAAGAUGCGCUGGAAACUGUGUAACUAGAGUGAUGGAGGGGGAACUGGAAUUCCAGGUGUAGGGGUGAAAUCUGUAGAUAUCUGGAAGAACACCGGUGGCGAAGGCGAGUUCCUGGCCAUAUACUGACGCUGAGGCGCGAAAGCGUGGGGAGCGAACAGGAUUAGAUACCCCCGUA